UUUAACUUCGGAUAAUAUAAAAAGCUUUCAACUAAGGUGUCUGAAAUAUAGCAUGACAGAUGUGGAUUUUUUUUUUUUGUUCCUACAUUAGCUUUCAUCCUGACCAUAAUGGUUCAAAAGUGACACAAAUGUUGCUAUUAAUUAAACCCAUCCUUGUACAGUCAAUCAGUGAUAUCUCCAAGAGGUGUAGUAAAGCUGCAGAUGAUAUCAGGACACAUCAAAGCUCCAAGCACAUGAAUAUGGCUUCAUGCCAGGCCAGCAUCAGUCUGGUAGGGAUCUUUAGCUCAGGCAAUGUAUUAGAUUCGAGAGCAGCUCUCUUCCAGAAAUAAUUUUUCCACUUUUGUAUAGCAUCACAACUGGAAAAAUAAACAGAGUGAGACUGGAGCUAAUGCUAUGCAAAACAGUGUAUUCCUGGAAACUGGAGCUUGGGAAAAAGCUGUACAGAGCCACAACUGGUGAUCAGCUCUGGCCUAACACGGCUUAUUAGCUUCAGUUAAGUAACAGUGAUAACACAUUUUCUCUCUCAGAAACAUCUGGAUGUCUCUGCUCUGUGCAGGGAAAGAAGUCUGUACACUGGAAGGGCUUGUUAAGCCCAGAGAAGUGUCACAUGAAUGCAUGGAACCAGCCUGGUUCCAGCAUUACCUUGGAGCUAACAAGCCAAGUUUGAACACAGAAGGCUUUGACACAAAGGGCAGAGACAGAGUAUUUCUGCACUAAUUAGCUUAAAGGCAGUGCUGGACCAAAACAGGUUAAACCAAGUUUGUCAUGAGCUAACUUUUUUUAAAAGGCACAUGAACAUCUCUGCAUGUUCCUAAUGCAUGCAUCUCCCUUAUCUAUGUAUGUCCCCUAUCUUGGAAUGAUAGCCUCCACUUACUUUAAACAUAGGAUUUUUUUUCUAGUUGUUUUCUAUGCUGGCAUGUAAUAUGAUGCACAAUGUAAUUAUUAUUUCCCUAAAAUUAUGGCAUUCAUCAUGUAAGUUCUAGUUCUGUCGUUAUUUAACAACAAAAGGUACUACUUAUUUCCUCAUAGUCCCCGCAGGUUUUCUGGAAAAUUAUGUUUCUACAGUCACAGUAUCCUUAUAAAAUAACAAUAGAUGCUAUUCAGUCUAAAAUCAAAUCUGAGUUUUGAGCAUUUAUUCUGCAUAGAUAUAAAUUAUUUCCUAUAAUACAUCAACACAGAACCUGUGUGAGAUAAAUCUGAUGUACACUUGGAAACUAACAUUAAAGAUUUUUAUUUUCCACAAAGCAUGCAACUGGUGCAAACUCACUCUGUUGUUUAGAAUUAGUUAAAAAAUAUGGAGCUAAGUUUCCUUUGGCAGACUCUGUGCUGAAUCAGGCAUACACUUUUCAUGAACCAUAAUGCUGCUGUAAACACAUGUCAUGUCAUAUGUCAUAAACAUAUGUCAGUUUACUCACAGGUAAACUUUUUAGGGUAAACCUCUAUUCCCAGUUGUGCAUAAAAAUGUAAAGAGAGAACACAGUGAAGAAAAAAAAAGUUCAUUUUUGUAUCUUAGUCUAGAUGUAUCCUUGCUAGACUUAGUUCUGAGCGUUUAUUUUUUUUUAUUACCAGCUGUACCCACAAGGAACUCACACAUGCGAGUAUUGGCCACAGGGUGUCAGACCGAAGAUCCACCUCCCCACAGUAUAUUGUUUUCAAUAAACACCCAGAACGUCUUUAAAAAUUCUGCCUGUACAAGCUCCUCUGAGCACUGUGGGUAGCCUGCACCACACAUCCAGUGGUGCAUGGUCAGGGAUACAGCAAGGAGAGGGAAGCUGAAGAGGAAAGAAGGAAGGAUCCUGGCUGCUGUAGGCUCUGCUUCAAUCCUCAUCAUGCCGUCUGCAAGGACAGCAUCUCUGGGUGACUUGAACUCAUCCUUAGACAGCUUCAUGGAGCAGCUGACAUUGGGGGUUCUCUGCUCUGUGUCCCCUUCUUGAGCCUGGUAUUCUCUUUACAAUGCCCAGGGAAAAAAGGAACAGCAUAACCUUCUCCUUAAGACUCUCCCAUCCUCCAACUGUUUUCAGCUCCAUGGAUUUCCUGAGACUGUUGUUAUUAAGUCUUUGUUCCCUUCCCCCAGCUUCCUAAAUUAAAUGCCUUGCUGAGAUUUUUACUGCAAAGAAAACUGUGUUGCUAAACUUUGUCCUGAUGAAAAAUUUACACUAAUUUUCUGCAUUAAUACUUCUGUGAUCACAACACAGCAGACCUGCCUCUCAGGAAACACAUUCAAAUUAUUUUUGUUUCAGUGCAGCUGGGAGUGGAGUACACAGUGAAGUGGGUUGGCACCACCAGCAAAACAGCUAUCUUACAAAGCCAGAUAAAGACUUGAGCUUAGAGUGGGUGGGUUUGGUUCAGCCAAAAAGAUGGUAGAAAAUCCUGGAGAAUGCAGGGAUGUGCAUUCAUUAGCCGACCACAAGUCGACGGAGAGGAUACAACACUCCCCGUUCUCCUAAGGGCAGCAUUCAACAGAUGAUUUCAUGGUACCAAGCCCAGUACCUGGAACCCACCAGCAGAGAUGUACUUGUUCACCUGUAGGUUUGACAGCUGAGCCACUGGAGCAAGAGAAUGGCAAAUCACGGCAAGAAUAAAAAUCCAUAUACACACAGGAGUGUGUUCUCCAGUAUUAUAACUGAAAAUAGAACAAUCUUUGGAAAAGGAGGAUGGGCAGAGUAGGAUUUAAAAGGAACACGGAAGCAUAUUUACCAGUCUGCACAACAUUAUGCAGUGUUGGUAUUCUCACACCUGGAAAGUGGAGUGGACAUAGCUGGGUGAACACGAUAAAGCCAGGACACAGAGUAUUGUUAUGUCACAGCCUCCAACUGUGGUCAGCUCAGGGAUUUCCCAAGUCAUGGCUUGUGUAUUUCCAACCUGCAAAGGGUUUCUUUCCCACAAACUUGCUUGGUAUCCCCUUUAAUUCACAGCAGUAGAUUACAUUCUUGGUCUGGAUGAUGCUAAUUCUGUGCUUCUUGUUUAUGCACUUAAUACCGGCUUCAAAUCCCUUUCCAAGAUAAAUACAGCUCAGAUGAAAUUUGAACAGAAGGUUUCAAAGAAAGCUAAGACAGGCAGGCCAGCAAUAUCCCAUGGAAACUUGGCAUAUAUUUCUAUCAAACUUUUGAAAAUGACAAGCCUUAACAAAAUCACAGCCAACAUCACAAAUAAACGCUUAACAUAAGUGGAUGUAAUGUCCUGAUGCAGCAGUCUCGAAGAAACUAUGUGGGUUUAGACACUACUAAAUUUUAUUUACUGGACACACUGGAGAAACUUUCACUGUUCAUUGUGCAAACUCUGUUUAAUCUUUGUCUGACCAGGCACAAUGGAUGCAUCUUUUUUCAACAUUAGCACUACUAUUUCCUUCUACUAUUUUAGUAAUAUUAAUUACUACUCAUAUGACUGAAUUUUAUUGCAUGCAUAAAUGUUUAUAUAAAUAAGCUUGCAAUAUAUUUUAAUAAAAGUAUAUUUUAAUAAAAGUAAAAUUCUAGUCAAG